UAAACUUUUUCAGUCUACAUUACUUCAAAUGGUCCAUGAAUAAAGAUAUAGAUGAGAAAACUAAGAUAAUGCUAAAGAUAUUUUUACAAGCAAUCCAUUCAAUACAAAGCAAAAUUCACUGGAAAAAGAUGAUCACACACCUGAAACAAGAGAUGCUUACUUUGCUUUUUGCUGACAUUUCCAACAUUUGAGCAUCAAAACCCACAAAAAAAAAAAACAAAUAUUGUUAAAAGAUGAUUCUGAAAAAGAAUGGCAAACUGAGAGGAAAAAAGCAAAUACUUACCAAAAAGACUUAUCAUAGAGAUAAGCCUUCCUUUUCCUUUUUGCAGGGAAGCUAGGAAGCCAUAGAAAGAGGUAGGAUAGGGGAAGGAGGAGACAACUACUUUCUCAUUCUUAUUUAAAACAAAAAAAAAAAGAAAGAAAAUAAACAUACAAAAGCUGCCAUCAAGUCCCAUCAUUUUUCUCUAGUCUAAUAAAAUCAUUCUUUUGUAAAUGAAUCAAGUGGUAGAGAAAUUUGCAAGUAUAAUUGUCCGCUUGGCACUGACACACAACUAUAAUCUAAUUUGAAGGUUAAGAUGUAUUCACAGGCAAAUGAUCAAGCAGAAAGCAAGCAACUUUUGCAAAAAUUAAUGGGUGACCUUAAAACAGAGAUACUUGAACUACGUUUCCUUUUCAGUUGAUUCUCCAACCCUAUAAAGCCAUGUAGACAAACAAGAAAUAGCUAUCUUUGUUAGAGAAUGGUUCUGCAUAAGGAAAAGGAAUAGAAAAAGUAAAAAAUUUGAAAACUAAAUUCUUAACAAAGUAGCUGAAAAUAGAGAGAAAGCCUCUACUUGUGUUUUGUUUUUCUAGAGAAACCAGACAACAGGGUGGGAGGAAUCUAUAUGUUUCCUCCCUGGAUCUCUUAUCCUUAAAAUUAUUCAUUAAGGGGAAAAAUUCAUUAAGAAAUGAUGAUCAACUCCAAUCUUCAUCCCCAAAUCACAUUCGCAAUAAUUAAUAAAUAAAAUAGCAAGCAAGAAUUUCACAUACGUUCCAAGUUUAAACCCAACCCAAAAUCACUUAGUUGGCAGAAAACAAAAUAAUAACUAGAAAAAAUGGCCUUAUUGACAUCUGGAUGCCUUAGAACACUGGAGACCACCACUGAAAGUUGCAGUUAAUACUAAGAAACAUCACCAAUAGUUUAUCAUAAAAAGUAGAGAAAACUAUAGACACCUGAGGCUAAGAAAUUAAAAUUUUGAAUCUCCUCUAAUACAUAAUACCAAAGUUCUAGCACAUUAAUGAUCCAGAGCAAGAAAAACUAACCUCCAGGGAAAUUCCUUUCUUAAAGCUUUUCUCCUUCGGUAAGAAGCUCUGUAUCUAUGUUUCUCCUCUUUUGUUUGGUCAUAUGUGAACCUCUAUUUUACAGAUAUACUGGACAAAAUGAAAAAAAGAAAAGAUGGUAAGAAUUUCUCAACAAACAGGAGGAAAGGAAGAGUGAAAGAACUGCUCAUCAAAUCAAAUCCUGCAAACCAAAAUUUUCAAUGAUGGGUUUUCUGCAAAAAUCUGAUGGUUACAACUCCAAUAAGUCAAACGGCCAAACAUUUUUUUGGGUAAAAAAAUCCCUGAGUUUUGGGUAAUACCUAAUCUCUGUACAAUUAUGUGGGUUUCAUCCCCGCAAGUACAAUCACUAAGGCCCUAUUUGGUUCUAGGAAACCAGUGAGGAAAGUAAAGUGAGCAAAUGGAAGGUAAAUUCCUUGUGAAAACCUAAUCCUUUCUCUUGUUUGGGAAACAAAAUAAAGUAGUAGGGAAAUGGCAAAAAAUUGCACAGAAAUUCUUUUCUUUGAAUCAUGGAUUUUGUGAAAGAAAUGGGAUUGGAAAACAUGAAAAGAAAAGAAAAUUCAUCUUAAAUCAAUCAUAAUCAAUUUUGUUGAACCUGCACUUGGAUGAACGAUGAUUCUCACUCUUAAACUUGCCUAACAAUUGUAUCGUACUUUAAUUUACUUUAAGUAAAGUGGACAACCAUGGUUAAGUUCUAAAUGGUGGACAACAUUGAGAAUUCAUUUGAUUCUAUAAACAAUUCUAUUGUGACUAAGCUAGUAAGAGAAUUGUAUUGUUACAAAACUAAGUUCAAAAGCAAGCUUGAAUCCCCAAAACUCCAUAAAAUUGAAACGAGUAAUGUAUUCAUAAAACUGAAAAACAACCAAUAUUUUAAUCCAAAGAAUUCAAAAGAAAUAAAAAAAAUUGUAAAAUUCACCUAAAAAAAUCGCUCUCUUUAUUCCCAAAAAAAGGCCUAAUAAUCUAAAAUUACAUCAAAAUCCACUACCUCAUAUAUUUAUGGUAAAAUAUCAACCGAAUAAUGGUCUAUUUGCUUUUUGGAGAAACAAAAGAAUGAAAAGUAAACUUUGUAGUUGCAACUACUGCAUAUAAGGCAGUUUAUAUGAAGUAUUUCAAAGUUAAAAGGUUGAAAAAAGAUAAAGGGUACAACUUUUCUAUGCAUAAUAGUAAUGCUUUUCAUUACUGAGUCAUUUGCUAUUGCAGAUCUAUAACCAUAUCCUAGUCUGAAGCAGCAACGCCACAAAAGACAUUUUAUUAAUACAUUGGCUGCUCAAUUAUGCCUCUAACAUUUAAACAGAUACAUUUUGUCAUUAUGGCAUAGGAGUACACUUCAGAGCCUCUAUCUGCGACUAGUAUAUCUUCUUAGCACAUUCGAUUAUCUUAGGACAGAAGAUUCUACUAAGGGAAAAGAACCAUGUCUUCCAUUAUGAUUCUGUCACAUACCUAUCUUCUUGGAACAUUGCUUCACUUUCAAUUUUUUGCACAUGCUCUAGAAACUCAUCAUUGGCAUUUGAUCAACAAUAGCAUGUACAACCACAUUUUAACAAAGAAAUCUCAUUUUGCAGUAACAUUGCUGAAUUUUUGUUGAAACUCAAAUACCUUACACUAGCCAUGUCGAAAUUACAUAAAAUGAGAUUGAGUCAAGGCAAAUUCAGGAGUCCACUGGACAGAAUUCAACCAUGAAUAUCUUAUAGAAAUCCAACCUGCAAUACCCUUAUAAACAAUAAAUAAUUGUCAGUUUGGUUAUUUAACAUCACAAAUAUCUUAACUUUAUUGAUGUCAUGAGUUAGUUAGAGGUUUCACGAAUUUCACAUACCAUUCCUUGUAGAUUACACAAUAUGAUGACAUGUCACAUAUGGUUGGUUCCUAUUUCUGGGCUAAACUGAUGAAGUUCAGUUCUUUUCUGUAUCUUAGUGAUAAUGACAAAUAUUUUCCUAAGGUCAAACUGCUAAUUUAAUAAUAUUCUAAAAGGAUUCUGAUCAUCCUGGUUUUACUUCUGAUGGCCAUGUAUUAUUAAGAAUCUCUAACUUGCCUGCAAGGUUGUGAUUCAGAAAAUUCAAAGAAUAUAUCAAUUAAAUGUUGGUAAGAUCAAGAUUAGCUGUGACUUUAGUGCUUAUUUGUAGGUAACUUAAGUUAGUUUGAACAGAUACAGAACAAGUUAAAAUUCAUCUCUUGAUACAACCAAUGCAUGUAUCAUUUAAUAGACAUAAAAAUUUAUGCAGACUCAUAGACAAAUUCCUAAUGCCAUGAAUCAGGAAUACUAUACAUGCCAACCUACAUUACGGGUAUUGCCACGGAAAUCAUCAUCGUCGAACGGUUUGAGGGAUUGAAUAGUUUGGAAUGGUACUAACAUAGUCUACUCACAACACCAAUGCGAAAAAAUAAAAAUCAGUUAACCUUAAUACAAAUAUAUAAUAGGUACAAAAUCUCCUGAAUGAACAGAAAAACCAGUUUCUAUGUGAAUCAAAACAGAAGAAAAGCAACAGAAUUAAAAGAAAAAAGGGCUCAAAGUCUCCAAGGGGCAAACCUAUGGCAAAAUAGAGAAAUUCGAGGUGAUUUUGCACUUUCCCAGAGCCUUUCAUCACCCUUGCUCUAAAAUUGGCAACGACGACUGCCGGAAGCCAUGUCGGAGAAGAUUUAAUUUGACCCGAUUUCUCUUAUAGCCCAGUUUGGAUCUACAUUUUGUCCGGUCCUUUGAUAUUUUUACCCAAAUAAAGUCUGUUACGUUGAUCCGGUUUUCAGUGAUUUCUUCCAUUUCCUCAUAUUUUAGUAAGGAAAUGUGUUGUAAUUGAGUGAAGAUGAACAACAAUUUCCCCGCUACUUUCCCGAAAUUGCUUUCCUUUGUGGUUCCUUUUGAAGAACCAAACAGGGCCUAAGUAAAGCAAGAAUUCUAUAGUCGAAAUGGGAAGCAAAUUUCUCGGAUUGUCAGCC
rnacentral:lncRNA from 1 species